UGAAAAAGUUGAGCACUUCUAUGUUUCUCAGGUCUGCGAUGUUUGCUGGUACAGUUGUAAGCUUGUUGUGACUCAAAACCAGCUGUGUGAUGUGAGACAACGUAAGGCGCGGUGCAGCGGCGUCGGGUUGAGGCGGCGGUGGCGGUGACUGGGCGUGGCCCCGCUGCUGCACGCGCCCACCCCGGCCCUCCCCUGAGCUGAGCCCCUCCCGCGCGCAGACGCGCUGCCGCCCUGCCCGGGAAGCGGAGACCUCCCCGCGCUUCCGGAGAG
rnacentral:lncRNA from 1 species